UGGCUCCUCAUGGCUUGUUUAGCCUGCUUUUUUAUAGAACCCAGGACCACCAGCCCAGGGAUGGCCCCACCCACAAUGGUCUGGGCCCUUCCUUGUCACUCACUAAGAAAUAUCAUACAGACAUGCCUACAGGUGAUCUGAUGAAGGCAUUUUCUCAGCUGAAGUUCCUCUUCCCAGAUAACUCUAGCUUUCGUCAAGCAGACAGACAGACAUACAUACAGACAGACCGACCAUGCAUCCUCUGAUGGGGCCACUGGCUGGUUCCUCUUCACAUGGAACUUCUCUGGCAUGAGCUGAUUGUGUCUGUCAUGUGGCUGCUGACUUCUCCAGUCAGUCUGAAUGAUCUAGAAGAGCUGGCAGACGUCCACCGUGUACUGAGGGAUCCAGCUCGGAAGUCUCACUACGCCUCAGCCACAUCCCUUCCCUAGAAAUGAGUCACCAAGCCCUGCUAUCCUUAAGGGGAGGGGGGCCACCUCAGAAGGGAGGGAUGUCAUGGGGUUUGUGAGAACCAAGACACCCCAGGGCUCCAAUCUUGUAACCAGAGAUGGGUGAAGCCAGGGCUUCCUGGCCAGUCCACUCCGUGGACACACGUUACUUUUUGCUGUGCAAUGCAGCAGCCUCUAGCUUCAUCUGUCUCUAGGUUUGUCCAUUAAAUGAAAAGUGAAAAACCUAUCCAUCCAACUUUCUAAAAAAAUUAGGGUCUCUCAUAGCACAGGCUGGCCUCAAACUCUCAAUCCUCCCGCCUCUUCCCCACCAAUGCUGGGUGGGAUUGCAGGUGUGUAUCACCCUAUACCUUGGCUUGGGAAAACUUCUAUAUCUAUUUGAAACCACUUGAGUGAGUGAAACCUUUUCUCCCCUUAAACUUCAUAAACUCUAUAUAUCAAGUGUUCCCAGGGAAUAGCUAGCAUUCAGACUGGAUUUUGAAGUCAGUGCAAACAAAGAGAGUAUGAACCAUCACGUUAAUGUUCUGAUACUGAUUACACAUAAAGUUGACAGUACUCCUAAUAUGCUGGGCUAAAUAAAGCCACUUAAAAAAAAAGUGGAUGUAUGUAUGUAGGGGAGCAUAGCAUGGAUACACAUGUGGGGGCUGGAGGUGGGCCUCAGGUUUCUUUAUGACUCUCUGCCUUCUUUUUUAAUAAAAAACAGAUUUAUUUUUAUAAUUUUGGAUUAUGUGUAGGUAUGUGUGUCUGCCCGUGGGAGGAUUGUAAGUUCAGAGCUAGCCUGGUCAACUUAGUGAGACCUUGUUUUAAAAUACAGAAUGAGCCAAGUGUGCUAGCUGUACCCAUCAAGAGAUGGAGACAGAAAGAUAAGGCUGCCCCCAGCUCCAGAGCAAGUAGACCAGCCCAGGCUACAAGAGACCCCGUCUCAAAAAACAAACUUGAAGCUAGGAAGAUGGCUCAGUUCAUCAAUGUACUUGCUGUCAAGGCCUGUGACUCAAGUUCAAAUCACAUGGUAGAAACACGGAAGUGAAUCCCACUAGUUGACCUCUGACCUUCAUGUGUGCCACACAGCCCAUGCCCACUGAUUUGUCUUUUUAAAAAAGAAUCGAAUGCAAAAAAGCAAAUGAAAAGUUGAAGGACAGCGAGGGAAAUAGGUCAGUGGUAGAGCAUUUGCCUGACCUGCCCAUUAAAGGCCCUGGGUUCAAUACCCACUACCACAAAAAAUAAAAUAACAAAAUGGCACUAAGGUAGCCUGAGCCACCGUUUGCAGGGUGCUUAGUGGCUCAGGCCACCCCAGACCAACAAAAUUCCACCUGCCAUGACGUUUCAAAGUGAGUCAGUCUGGGAAAGUGAAUCAAGGUGCUCACCCAGGAGGCCACACCCAAGGAAGGUUGGUUUGUCCUCUCAACUCAGUUCCGCUCAGCCUCCUGCCUUUGGGUCUUGGCAUAUGGGCUUCCCUCUUUCGCUGUGUGAGAGCACACAGACAUUCUGCAUACUCUAGGCAUCUAAUAGGGGAGCAGGCACUGACAGUUUUUUCCGUUCAUGGGUGUCAGAUACAGUGUGCCAGCCACCCUGUGUCUGAGGGGUGUGUUUGUGGGUGCAAUGGAGAAGGAGAUGGGGAUGUCCAAUUUGAAAAAAGGGUGCAUGGGUAAGUGAGAAAAGUAGGUCAGAGACGAUGCCCCUCAGACAACCCAGUAUUUCAAAACGCAGAUUCCAUAUUUACUUGUUUGUGGAUAGAAAAGUCUAGAAAGGUAAGUCGCCAAUUACCUUGAGGGAGGACAGGUGUGAGGUUGAAAAUAUGCAGAGAAUUUUUUUUUUAUUCUUCCUUACUGCCUUCUGGAGCUGAAGAAGUUCUUCGGGACUAAACUUCCAGAGCCUUCACAGUUGGUCUCUGCCGAGUCAAGCUGCCACUUACCAAGAUGGACGCAGGGCCAGUGGAGGGACAGAUCUGUGGAAUUCUGGGAAAUCCAGCUGAAUCCAGAGAUGGCAGAGAUUUGGAUGCCGAAGUUUCCAAAGGAUGAAUGUUCCUAAUUCCCUCAUUCUGCACUCAACAAGUCAUCUUUUGGAGGACACAUCUCAUCACUUUCAGCGCUCUCUCCAGCUGCCUUGAGUAACAGCUGAGCCUGUUACAAGGGCCUCCGUGACCCAGAAAGCACCUCUGCCUACCUCUUGCCACCAUCUUUCUUGUUCAUUACUCCAGCAACCCUGACCUCCUGUCAGUCCCAGCUCCUGCCAAACUUUCCCCGUCCCACACUGCCCCUGCUGCCCGGGGAAUAUUCUAGGUAGGAUUGCCACAUCCUUCAACUGUCAGCUCGAAUGUCACAUUCUCAGGAUGUCUAUUAUUUCUCCACUGUUCCUUCCCAACACUACAGUCCAGAGCUGUCUUGUGUCUCUAUUCACAUGGCUGGACUAAGGACAGUUUGGGUCACCAUUCUAAGCCCCAUCUGAACUCAAUGCUGCAAAAGGAAUGCCUAAAAGUAAAUAUGGAUGUAGAGGUGGCCCUCUGUGCUGAAUGUUGGACAAUCGGUGCCUGGUUCCACCCUGUGGAUCCACCCCAUGGCUAUCCAAGAUGUCAUCUCUGGGUCCUUCCAAGAAACCAAGCUGGAAAGUAUCUUAGUUAGGGUUUCUAUUGCUUUGAAGAGACACCUUGACCAUGGUAACUCUUACUGAGGCUGGCUUACAGGUUCAGAGGCUGAGUGUAUCCUUGUCAUGGCGGGAGGCAUGGCGGCAUGUGGGCAAACAUGCUGCUGGAGAAGGAGUCCAGGGUUCUCCAUCUGGAUGGGCAGGAGCCUAGCGGGCCAUUUCAUUCAUAUCACUGCAGAAAAAUAACAGUCCCAUAACUUUAUCUUUAGGGAGAAAGACCAGGUGAGGUGUCAGAGAAGGGCCAGGGUGCUUCUGGUUUAAGGACCCACCCUGUGAGCAGUUCAAGACUGUGGCAUGAAGCAGAGAUUCCAGGCUGCUCCAGGGUGCCAGGGGACUUUUCAAGCUUGUGUUUCUGUCUUAGGAAGAUGGGGCUGGCUUCUGGGAGUGCAGUUUAAUUACAUUCAGUUGGCUGGAUACUGUCAAAGGCUGCUCUGGGUCUUGCCAGCCUCAUAGACUCAGGCAUCUUUCCAGUAAACGUGUGAGAGAGAGCAAGCCAUGUGGUACCCCUGGCAAGCUAUGGCACCAAGGCAUCCUCCACUCACCAUCAGCCCACCCGGGCAUGCACAGCAGGAGACCAAGGGACCUUCCAACCUCUGGGUGUCCCGGGCCAAUGGGAAGGUCCUGUGGAGCCCAGCUGCCCCUGAGGAAGCAGAGGCAUGGGACAGUAACCUCUCUCACCCAAGAUCACACUGUUUGAAAGCAGCCAGAGUAUAGAUGGUUGCAUGAAUCAGAUACUCUUUGGGGACCUGUAUUAUUGAGUAUUGUCACUGUUCUGGGUGAAGCAUAGCCCUUUGCCCUCAGAGGUCUUUCUGUCCGCCUUACUAUAUGUAUGUAUGAAUGUAUUACUUAUUUCUGGA